rnacentral:rRNA from 1 species
AAAUUGAAGAGUUUGAUCAUGGCUCAGAUUGAACGCUGGCGGCAGGCCUAACACAUGCAAGUCGAGCGGAAACGAGUUGUCUGAACCUUCGGGAAACGAUAACGGCGUCGAGCGGCGGACGGGUGAGUAAUGCCUAGGAAAUUGCCCUGAUGUGGGGGAUAACCAUUGGAAACGAUGGCUAAUACCGCAUGAUGCCUACGGGCCAAAGAGGGGGACCUGCGG